ensembl:lncRNA
GCUCUACAAGGUUAUUUCUGUCACUCAGAUUGGCAAACACAUCCCCGAACAGGAUAUAACUUGUGCAGAGGGCCAGCAUAAGGACCACAUGUCAUCGAAAUACCAGUGAAAUCCCAUUUUAAAGGCACUGAGAAGCCUUUUGAGUCCAGAAAAUAACCAUUUUGGAUACGUGACUGUCGAGCACAGCCCUGCUCAUUUAUGCAACAAGUGGACAAUAUUUUGAUAACUUACCAUGCUGCACAGAUUUCUGAGACAUCAGGACUCAAGGGCCUAAGACCACUCUCUGUCCCUCAUCCUGUUGUCACGGAGAGGUUCUGCCUCUCUUCCUUGAUGAAG